UACAGGGGGGGCAAGCGUUGUUCGGAAUUACUGGGCGUAAAGGGCCAGUAGGCGGCCAACUAAGUCACACGUGAAAUCCCCAGGCUUAACCUGGGAACUGCGUGUGAUACUGGAUGGCUUGAAUUCGGGAGAGGGAUGCAGAAUUCCAGGUGUAGCGGUGAAAUGCGCAGAUAUCAGGAGGAACACCGGUGGCGAAGGCGGGUCUCUGGGCCGAUACUGACGCUGAGGAGCGAAAGCGUGGGGAGCGAACAGG
rnacentral:rRNA from 1 species